rnacentral:hammerhead_ribozyme from 1 species
AUCCAGUUGAUGAGUCCCAAAUAGGACGGAUUGCGCGUCCUGGAU